rnacentral:rRNA from 1 species
CAGCCGCCGCGGGAAUACGAAGGGGGCUAGCGUUGCUCGGAAUGACUGGGCGUAAAGGGCGCGUAGGCGGCUGACACAGUCAGAUGUGAAAUUCCUGGGCUCAACCUGGGGACUGCAUUUGAGACGUGUUGGCUUGAGUGGAGAAGAGGGUCGUGGAAUUUCCAGUGUAGAGGUGAAAUUCGUAGAUAUUGGGAAGAACACCAGUGGCGAAGGCGGCUCACUGGACCGACACUGACGCUGAGGCGCGAAAGCGUGGGGAGCAAACAGGAUUAGAUACCCCUGUAGUCCCUGUCUCUUAUAC